CUCCCCUAGAUGGCAAUAUAUGUUGAUAUAUAUAUGUAGAUACAAUGUAUGUGUGCAGAGCCAAACAGUUUUCUUGUUGCACAGGGAGAAUUGGAUUCAGAAGGUAACAAUAACCUGGGAAGAAAAACAAAAAUGCAAACAGUUUACAUUCAUUUCCCAGUAUUUUUUUUUCUUUGGGUGUAGCUGCUUCUGUCCAUCAUUGAUCAAUUGAAGCUGAAUUAGGUCUUUGUCAAAGACAUCCACUUGCAUCAGAGUACAUCUUCAUACAGUAUCGUUGUUGAAGUCUAUAAUGAUCUCUUGGUUCUGCUCAUUUCUCUCAGCAUCAGUUCAUGUAAGUCUCUCUAUAUUCAUCCUGCUGGUCAUUUCUUACAAAACAAUAAUAUUCCAUAACAUUCAUAUACCACAAUUUACCCAACCAUUCUCCAAUUGAUGGGCAUCCAUUCAUUUUCCAGUUUAUGAAACUUUUUUUUUUGACUCAUUGAAAUGUUUGUGUUGAAAAAAGAGAAAAGGACCUAUUUGUGUAAAAUGAUUUAUAGCAGCUCCCUUUUGAGGUGACUAAGAACUAGAAAUCAAAGGGAUGUCCAUCAAUUGGGGAAUAUCUAAAUGAACUGUGGUAUAUAAUUGGAAUAUCAGUGUGCUAUAAGAAAUGACAAACAUGGAAAGACUUACAUGAACUGAUGCAGAGUGAAGUGAACAGAACCAGGAAAAGAUUAAACACAAUAACAGCAAAAUUCGGUGAAGAAUUGUGAAUGAUUUAGCUGUUCUCAGCAAUACAAUGAUCCAAGACGAUCUCAAAGGAAUAAUGAUGAAGCACACUGUCUGCCUCCAGAGAAAGAAUUGAUAUUGAUUGAAUACAUACUAAAACAUGCUAUUUUCACUUUCUUUCAUUCUUUUUCUUUUAUUUGAGGCUUCUUGUACAAUAUUACUAAUAUAGAAAUGUUUUGAUGAUUGCACGUAUAUAACACAUCUAAUUGCUUCUUGUCUGAGGGAGGGAUAGAAUUUGGAAUUCAAAAUUGAAAAAAAUACCAAAUGUUCAAAAAUUGUUUUAUUUAUAUAAGUGGGGAAAAAUAAAUAUGUAAAAAAUAAGAAAAGAAAAUGGGGUCUUAGUUAUUUUCUCUGUAAAAUGCAAAUGAUAUUCACAUUGCUCUAUCUAUCCAGGUAGCUUCUUGGGGGAACAUUUUACAAACCUUUGAAGGUGGUAUAAAUAGGAACCAUUAUCCUUGGAGUGGUCCCAGGAUUUGCAUUGUGGGGAGUAGUCCCAGUUUGGGAGUUCUGCGUCCCGUCUAUAAAGGACACCAGAUUUGUCUCAUUUGAAUGCCAGCUGUGAUGUCUGCCAGCUAGAGGAUAUCAGACCAGUUCCUCAUUAAUAUAAUGGGUGGUUGAGGCUAGAUGGCAUCUAAGGGGCAUUUUGGUUUUAAAAGCUAUGAUUGGAUGAUCCCAAAUAUGCCCAGUAGAAAAUCAUGGUACCAGACACUGUCGGAAGGAUGGUCGGUGGAUGCAGGAAGCUUGGGUUCAAAUCCUGACUGAAUCUUGUUGAGUGAUCUUGGCCAAGUCCUUUAAGCUCAGUGAAAUGAUCUUCUUACUUUUUGGAUGGGGGGUUUAGCGUUGGCUAGGAUCUUAUCGGUCAUCUGGUCCAAUUUCCUAAUUUAACAAAUAAGGAAAUUGAAGUCCAGAG
ensembl:lncRNA